CGUGACGCAGCAACGCCGCGUGGGGGAGUGACGGCCGUUAGGGUUGUAAACCCCUUUCAGGAGGGACGAAGGUCGGCGCGUUAAUAGCGUGUCCGACUGACGGUACCUCCAUAAGAAGCCCCGGCUAACUACGUGCCAGCAGCCGCGGUAAUACGUAGGGGGCAAGCGUUGUCCGGAAUUAUUGGGCGUAAAGAGCGUGUAGGCGGUCCGGUAAGUCAGCUGUGAAAGUCAAGGGCUCAACCCUUGAAUGCCGGUUGAUACUGUCGGGCUAGAGUCCGGAAGAGGCGAGUGGAAUUCCCGGUGUAGCGGUGAAAUGCGCAGAUAUCGGGAGGAACACCAAUGGCGAAGGCAGCUCGCUGGGACGGUACUGACGCUGAGACGCGAAAGCGUGGGGAGCAAACAGGAUUAGAUACCCUGGUAGUCCACGCCGUAAACGAUGGGCACUAGGUGUCGGGGGUGUCGACUCCCCCGGCGCCGUAGCUAACGCAUUAAGUGCCCCGCCUGGGGAGUACGGCCGCAAGGCUA
rnacentral:rRNA from 1 species